rnacentral:rRNA from 1 species
UAGGGAAUCUUCGGCAAUGGGCGAAAGCCUGACCGAGCAACGCCGCGUGAGUGAGGAAGGCCUUCGGGUUGUAAAACUCUGUUGUUCGGGAAGAAGGGAAAGGGUAGGACCCUUAGGUGACGGUACCAAACGAGAAAGCCCCGGCUAACUACGUGCCAGCAGCCGCGGUAAUACGUAGGGGGCGAGCGUUGUCCGGAAUGAUUGGGCGUAAAGCGCGCGCAGGCGGUCCUUUAAGUCUGAUGUAAAAGCCCGCGGCUUAACCGCGGAAGGUCAUUGGAAACUGGGGGACUUGAGGCUAGGAGAGGGAAGUGGAAUUCCUGGUGUAGCGGUGAAAUGCGUAGAGAUCAGGAGGAAUACCGAUGGCGAAAGCAACUUCCUGGCUUAGAACUGACGCUGAGGCGCGAAGGCGUGGGGAGCAAACAG